GGAUCAGUGGCGAACGGGUGAGUAACACGUGAGCAACCUGCCCCUGACUCUGGGAUAAGCGCUGGAAACGGCGUCUAAUACUGGAUAUGUGACGUGACCGCAUGGUCUGCGUUUGGAAAGAUUUUUCGGUUGGGGAUGGGCUCGCGGCCUAUCAGCUUGUUGGUGAGGUAAUGGCUCACCAAGGCGUCGACGGGUAGCCGGCCUGAGAGGGUGACCGGCCACACUGGGACUGAGACACGGCCCAGACUCCUACGGGAGGCAGCAGUGGGGAAUAUUGCACAAUGGGCGAAAGCCUGAUGCAGCAACGCCGCGUGAGGGAUGACGGCCUUCGGGUUGUAAACCUCUUUUAGCAGGGAAGAAGCGAAAGUGACGGUACCUGCAGAAAAAGCGCCGGCUAACUACGUGCCAGCAGCCGCGGUAAUACGUAGGGCGCAAGCGUUAUCCGGAAUUAUUGGGCGUAAAGAGCUCGUAGGCGGUUUGUCGCGUCUGCUGUGAAAUCCCGAGGCUCAACCUCGGGCCUGCAGUGGGUACGGGCAGACUAGAGUGCGGUAGGGGAGAUUGGAAUUCCUGGUGUAGCGGUGGAAUGCGCAGAUAUCAGGAGGAACACCGAUGGCGAAGGCAGAUCUCUGGGCCGUAACUGACGCUGAGGAGCGAAAGGGUGGGGAGCAAACAGGCUUAGAUACCCUGGUAGUCCACCCCGUAAACGUUGGGAACUAGUUGUGGGGUCCAUUCCACGGAUUCCGUGACGCAGCUAACGCAUUAAGUUCCCCGCCUGGGGAGUACGGCCGCAAGGCUAAAACUCAAAGGAAUUGACGGGGACCCGCACAAGCGGCGGAGCAUGCGGAUUAAUUCGAUGCAACGCGAAGAACCUUACCAAGGCUUGACAUAUACGAGAACGGGCCAGAAAUGGUCAACUCUUUGGACACUCGUAAACAGGUGGUGCAUGGUUGUCGUCAGCUCGUGUCGUGAGAUGUUGGGUUAAGUCCCGCAACGAGCGCAACCCUCGUUCUAUGUUGCCAGCACGUAAUGGUGGGAACUCAUGGGAUACUGCCGGGGUCAACUCGGAGGAAGGUGGGGAUGACGUCAAAUCAUCAUGCCCCUUAUGUCUUGGGCUUCACGCAUGCUACAAUGGCCGGUACAAAGGGCUGCAAUACCGUGAGGUGGAGCGAAUCCCAAAAAGCCGGUCCCAGUUCGGAUUGAGGUCUGCAACUCGACCUCAUGAAGUCGGAGUCGCUAGUAAUCGCAGAUCAGCAACGCUGCGGUGAAUACGUUCCCGGGUCUUGUACACACCGCCCGUCAAGUCAUGAAAGUCGGUAACACCUGAAGCCGGUGGCCUAACCCUUGUGGAGGGAGCCGUCGAAGGUGGGAUCGGUAAUUAGGACUAAGUCGUAACAAGGUAGCCGUACCGGAAGGUGCGGCUGGAUCACCUCCUUUCUA
rnacentral:rRNA from 1 species